UUUUAUCACAUGAACCUUCAAUGACGAUGAUGAUGAUAUAUGUAGACCCGAGCGACACGAAGAAGUAAGUCGCCUGUUUUCUUUCCAAAACUAAGCGAAGGACUUCAGGUGGGCAAUAUUUUGAGUAUACGUAUAUCAUAUGAGCUUUCUAAAAUGAUUGAUGAUGGUAUUUAUGAGAUUAUCAAAUAUUGAGCUAAAUGAUGUUUAAGAACUGUUUGACUUGCCAAUUUUUGAUGUUGAGCUUGUAUGUUACCCUCUACUGAUGAGAUGAGACGAAUUCGGUCCUGCCACAAGUGGGAUUUUGUGCACAGAGGUGACUGUGAGCCGUCUUCGGGUCGGCCGGUCACGGUACUUGAGAGGGAGGCCUACUUCUCAGUACCUUUGAUGAUGAUGAGUUGUAGAUGUGACUAAGCGAGGAGCGAGAUUGGUCUGGUGCUGGUGGGGAAUUGCUAGAGGAUGUAUUUACUUUAUCGCAUUUCCGUUUUGACGAUAAAGUCUUGAUGAUUGAUAUACUUUGAUUUUCUUUUGAAUUUAAGCAAUAUACUCACGGUUAUAUGUCUUCAUACAUAUAAUCGAUUCGCCUUUUGCUGCGAUACUCUGCAUAUUAUUCUUCCUUAUGAAAAAUGAGCUAUACCCGUUUUGUUUUUGAUCGUGAAAUUCCUGAUAUUUAUGAAGUUAUGACGAUGUUGAUGUUUUUA